GCCCGCGUGGUGUAGUGGUAUCAUAUCUCACUUGUGACAGGCUCAGUACUGCCGACUGAUGGCACGAAACGUCAUGUUAAGCUUUGAGAAGGACGCUGGUUCAAUUCCAGCCGUGGGCU